UCGUGCAGUCCAGUUCCGAUGUUCCUGCGCGACGGUACGAAAACGAUCGAGGGGGUACCGCGGAGAGCGUGUCCGAACGUGUUCGUGUUCCGUGCUUAUCUCGUGCCCGUGGAAGUCGCGUUCGUGUCGCGUGUUGGUUCGUAAAAGCGUCUUGUGUGAGUAGUGCGUUUAUAAGAGAUUAGACCACAGGAGAUCGGACCGCUUUUUCCCUCCGUUCACCGGAUCACCGGUUGACCGUGUUGUCCCAUUCAUCGGCGCAACGGCUUUGUACGGGCGAAGGAACGUCUGAAGCGUUCGCGGUUACCCCGCGACUGCCUUCGGCGAGCAUGAAAAAUAGUGUCCAGUGACGUGAAACGCUGCUGGCAAGGAUCCUUGACUCCGAAACUCUAGACGCCGCGAGGCUGCCGUCUCCGACGAGGUGCGAACUAGAGCGAAAAGAAGCGAGGAGGUUGGCCGCGAGCUGCGUCCACGCCUACGCAUCCAACCGCCUAACGAUCGCACGUAGUUACCCGUUAAUUAGACCUUAAUUAGCCCGGUGCUCGUCGCCGUAAGCAGCUCGCAAAAAUAAAAAAAAUAUGCCGUGGCACUCGCUUCACCUCGGUCCCACCUGACGACCUGGCAGGGAGGGAGGGACAGAGAGACAGACAGAGACAGAGAGGAGCUUCUUUGGGCGGUUCCAGUGAAAGAAAUCGGCCCGGAAGAUGCACAACGUCUCGACGGAGGGCGCGUCGCCCGGCGGUCGACGACUGUCCCGCAGCUUUCACUCCUGCCUUCGCGGAGCUGAUCACGACGAUCUUGAAUCAGGUCUCGUGCUUCUCGAUUUAGCUAGCGACCGAAGCGUUCAUUUCUUCAAUUUCGUAUUAAUUGUGAUAUAUUAGAGCAGUGGUUCGAGCGGGUUGUCCCUCGUUUCGUCGUUAUCCUUUUUACGACGUAGAUUGGACGAUUCCGCGGCGCGCAUUGCGUAGGAUAACGACACGCAUGAUUUACAUGGAACGUAGGUGACGCGUACGCAAUGUUACGGGCCUACGCUCGUUAAAACUGCACUUCCACUUUCUCAGAAAAGAAAACCAUUCGUGGGAAAAAGAGAACAAGUCGGUUGCGGUUCUUGACGCAAUCGUCACUGUCGCGUUUUCCGGCAGAGUUUCUGAGUUACGACGCUCUGGAUUGAGAUUAAUUGAAGCCCCGAUGAAAUUUAGAGCCGGGAAUGCGCUCCAUUGAUCUUCGCCGCGAUCGUCGUGCCGUUAAGGUUACUUUAGGGGAUGCAAGAAUCAUUAAAGCACUCUCAUGCAUUAUCUCCGUUUCAUUUUAGUACGUUUGAAGGCUUGUGCAAUUUAUUUGUUAACCGUAGAACUACCGAGCGUUUAAUACGAUUAAUAUGUAAUAUUUAUAAAAAUUGUAACAACAGAUUUCUUUUCGGUUUCAUAGUAUUCAAAUGAAGCUAUUUAUUUUUAAGAUAAUUUCGAAUAUUUAGCACUUUUAGGAUAUCAGUAAUUGUGAGAUGAGAAAACUGAAACCCAUUAUGUUGAAGGUUGUGGUAGUUCUAGUAUUAAACGAUUUAAUUUGGUCUAUUUAAAGGCACACUCGCAAGUAUUAAAAUUUCGCGAAGUGAAUACUUCAUUGACAUUUUAUUAAAUGAUUUAUUGAA